UCAUGAAUUGCCGGACAAAUCUCCUUUGGCAGUGAGGCUUAAUUAUACGGCCAUUUAUGGCAGUCAAGUAGCCUACUGCCGAAGGAGUAAUUGUCCAGUAAUGCGUCC
rnacentral:pre_miRNA from 1 species